CUCCUCCCGGCCGGAGGCUGGGGCGAGGACGCUGCCCCGCCGCAAGGGGGCGCUGUCGCUCGCAGCCCAGGAAUUGCGGGGCGGGGAAACAGAGGCGCACGAGGAAGAGCAGAAGAGCUGAGAUCACAAUUGACAUAUUUCACCAGAGAGAGAGAGACAUACUAUUCUAGUGAGAAGACCAUGAAAUUGUGAAUAACAUCCUUUUCUCCACUUCUGCAACUUUGGGCUUUGCCCCCACCUCAAGUAAGCCCAUCAAGAACAGUCACACGUGGGAAAAGCCUUGUGGGACCACUGUGACAGCGAGGCAUUGUAUUGGGGAAAUUUGCAGACAGAAUCAUCUUCGAACCAAAGCAACACUGCUACAUCACCUGAUGUGACGAGUGGGCUGCUACCAGCUAACGCCCUGGGUUUUUUUUAAUGAUCCUCUUCCAUCAUCUGGCUUGGGAGACAGCUAUAUGAAGUAGCAAUGGGAGUUGGAGACUGGGAGACAAAAAUUAUGAAUUUCAUCACCAGCCCUUUAAAAUUGUGUGCAUGCCUCCCUCCUGCCCGCAUCUUUAGAAUUUGGACUUAACCAGGGAGAGAAACGCUAUGGUCCUAGGCCUCCCAUGUCACAAAGCUCCCUGAAAUCAGCCAAUGUUUAAGAAGCAGUUGAAGCCCAUAAUGAAAGGGGCAAAGAAGGACCCAGCCUUAUUAUGGCUAGAUGCUGAAGCAACUGAAAAAAAGGGUGUGCCAGGGGUUUGUUUGCUCUUAUAACCAGUCUGCCAGGAUGCUCUGUCUUUGUAGACCAGUUUCAUUUCACUGGGGUUUAAUUUCACUCCCAGGGAAGGAGCAGUUAAAAAGUAUCAUUAUUACUACACUGAA